rnacentral:rRNA from 1 species
AGAAAGUCACGGCUAACUACGUGCCAGCAGCCGCGGUAAUACGUAGGUGGCAAGCGUUAUCCGGAUUUAGUUGGGCGUAAAGAGAGUGCAGGUCGGUUUUUCUAAGUCUGAUGUGAAAGCCUUCGGCUUAACCGGAGAAGUGCAUCGGAAACUGGAUAACUUGAGUGCAGAAGAGGGUAGUGGAACUCCAUGUGUAGCGGUGGAAUGCGUAGAUAUAUGGAAGAACACCAGUGGCGAAGGCGGCUACCUGGUCUGCAACUGACGCUGAGACUCGAAAGCAUGGGUAGCGAACAGGAUUAGAUACCCUGGUAG